UUUCAAAGAGUGCAGGAUUUAUGAGGAAAAACUAUUCCUUCCCUCUGUAAUAUCCUAAGAAAGUCACUUCCCUAGUUCCUGUGUACCUGAGAGUAUGGGAUACUGGCAUGGGAGACAGCAUAAUGUUCAUGGUUAGUGCUACAGGAAGAGAUGGCGGAGUGAGGACACAGUCAGGUGGAGGAGACUCCCAAGUAGCUGGGAUUACAGGUGCUCGCCACCAUGCCUGGGUAAUUUUUUGUGUUUUUAGUAGAGACAGGGUUUUGCCAUGUUGGCCAGGCUAGUCUCCAACUCCUGACCUCAGGUGAUCCACCUGCCUUGGCCUCUCAAAAUUUUUCUAUUUUUAUGAUUUAUCAAAAAUUAUAUAAAUCACAAUGACAAGAUAAACAGAAAAAACACAUGGGACGUAACAUCUCAACAUUUACUUUCCAUUUGAAAAGGUAGACCAUAUUCAAUUGUUUAUGUAGGAAAGAUCACCAGAAUUAAUAUUUAUGGAAUGUUUCUCAUAUGUGUAGAGACAAGCUGGCUUCAUUCCCCAUUACAACAAACAACAACAGCAACAACAAAAAGUCCAAAUAUACAGCGCUGAGUUCUUCACCAGCAACAACCCAGAGCUCAAGUAUGAGGAUGAGCCAGUUUCCGGGGAUGUGGAGAAGUGGAAAAACUGAGCAGAUGAUGGACAACUGACAUUCACAAGGAUGACACCCCUCCAACUAAUUCUGCCCAGGCACCCCCUGUGAGGAAAAUCUCCCUUCAACUC
rnacentral:lncRNA from 1 species